AUGUGAUCCACCAGCAAGGAGGGACGCCAAUAAGGCAUCCAAUAAGAUAAGUCUUAUAAAAUAUAUAGAUUUAUGAUAGUUAAGACUGAGCUAGCAAAUGAGAAGUCCUAGUCAUUGGCCAAGCAGCAUUGUACCUAAUACAAGUUUCUGUGUAUUCAUUUGGGCCUAACUCGGGCAGGCGGCUGGCUUAAAGCUCACACGUGGUGGUGGAGCUCAGGCGCUUUUGGCAGAAAGAUUUAUUGUAACAUGGGAAAGGUGGGCAGAGAGAGGUGCCGAAAAGAGAUGCCAUGUAGCAAGGAAAAAGUAAUAGGUCCAGAUCCUUCUCCAGUAAGAUAGACCAUGUGGAAAUACAUAGAUUAAUAGAAAUGGGUUAAUAAUUAAGUCAAAGCUAGCCAGUAAGAAGUCCUAGCCAUUGGCCAACAGUUUUCUAACUAAUAUAUGUGUUUAUGUGGGGUUGAGAAGGGUGGCAGGACCUGGCAGGACAAGAAAAACUCCAGUUACAUUCUAGGAAUAAAAUUAUUCUGGGAAAUCUUAUAAUACUACACUUAAUCUCUCUCAUAUUGGGCUCACCAGCUGCUGAAGCAACAGUUUAAAAUUAAUAUCUUUAAAACUGGGCCUCAUUGAAGUUAAGAAUAGAAAACCAGAGGGUAUUUAAGAAUAGAAAAAUAUUGAGGGGAGUUUAAGGGUAAAUUUAGCUCACUGAAUUUGUCUUGUCCCGUCCCCUUGAAGGAAAAAAAAAAGGCCUCACAAUAUUAUUAAAUGAAGUAAACAUCAAAACUAUGCAAGAAAAACACCUUUCUGAAGGACACAGCCUGCCCUGGAGUGGAGCAGAACCCACCAUAAUGACUGUCCUUCCAUUCACUCCUCCAUGGUGACACUUACACAGCAGCCUGAGAUGCCGGAACUCAACUCGCCGCUUUCCAACUAAGGAUCUCUUAAACUCACUGAUCUGCCUAUUCGCUACAAUCCGCUUUUUAUAACAGAGAGAUAGGCCAGCUGCUGGCCCCACCCCAUUUCCUCCGAGAAGACUGGGCACUGAAGAAACUUCAUCUCAGUGACAACGCUGGUCACUGAGCAACCCUGCCCUUCACCUCAACUGGUACAAAGUAUUCCAGACCAUGGACAAGAGGACAACGGAAUCGACUUUCCCGGCGUUGCUUGGGCCAACGGAUUCUUGUAAGUUCCAGGGAGCCGAAUCAGAUCCAAACAGGUCAGAUUCACUCC
rnacentral:lncRNA from 1 species